AUACGGGGGGUGCAAGCGUUAAUCGGAAUUACUGGGCGUAAAGCGCGCGUAGGCGGUUUGCUCAGUCGGAUGUGAAAGCCCAGGGCUCAACCUUGGAACUGCAUACGAUACUGGCAAACUAGAGUGUGAGAGAGGAUAGUGGAAUUUCCGGUGUAGCGGUGAAAUGCGUAGAUCUCGGAAGGAACAUCAGUGGCGAAGGCGACUGUCUGGCUCAACACUGACGCUGAGGUGCGAAAGCGUGGGUAGCAAACAGGAUUAGAAACCCGAGUAGUCC
rnacentral:rRNA from 1 species